GGGAAGAAGCGAGAGUGACGGUACCUGCAGAAGAAGCGCCGGCUAACUACGUGCCAGCAGCCGCGGUAAUACGUAGGGCGCAAGCGUUGUCCGGAAUUAUUGGGCGUAAAGAGCUCGUAGGCGGCUUGUCGCGUCGGAUGUGAAAGCCCGGGGCUUAACUCCGGGUCUGCAUUCGAUACGGGCAGGCUAGAGUUCGGUAGGGGAGAUCGGAAUUCCUGGUGUAGCGGUGAAAUGCGCAGAUAUCAGGAGGAACACCGGUGGCGAAGGCGGAUCUCUGGGCCGAUACUGACGCUGAGGAGCGAAAGCGUGGGGAGCGAACAGGAUUAGAUACCCUGGUAGUCCACGCCGUAAACGUUGGGAACUAGGUGUGGGCGACAUUCCACGUCGUCCGCGCCGCAGCUAACGCAUUAAGUUCCCCGCCUGGGGAGUACGGCCGCAAGGCUAAAACUCAAAGGAAUUGACGGGGGCCCGCACAAGCAGCGGAGCAUGUGGCUUAAUUCGACGCAACGCGAAGAACCUUACCAAGGCUUGACAUACACC
rnacentral:rRNA from 1 species